GUCAGAGGGUUUGCAUGGUUUAAGCACUGCUUGUACAUACUUGUAAGUUAAGUCUAUAGCAUACUGGUUAGAAUGUUCAUUUUCUCACAUACUUGAUAAUAUGGGCAUCAGUACUAAAGUGAGAUUUACUUUCUUUUGGUGAUUUGAUUUUUUUUUUUUUAUUUAAGAGAAUCAUGCAUGCCAGGCUUCUCACACUGGAAUUGAAAUUCUGUGUUUCAGAGGCUAGAGUUGAAUGAAAGCUGGCUUUUGGUUAGAAAAAUAAGGAUUUCAAAUGCAGCUUUGCUACUUCUAAAUUGAAUGUCUCCCAGUGGUUUCAAAUUUUCUGAUUUAUUGAAUGGAUAGAAUAUCAUACUAAAGGGUUGGGGUUGUGGCUCAAAGGUAGAGCACUUGCCUACCUAUGUGUGAGGCACUGGAUUUGAUUCUCAGCACCAUAUAUGAAUAAUGAAUCAAAUAAAGGUCCAUCAAAAACUAAAAAAAAAUUUUUAGAAAGAAUAUCAUACUAAAUAGCAGUCCUGAAGAUUCAGUUAAAACACCCAUUACUUAGAAGUUUAGUUUUGUUUUAACCAAGGAGAAACCCUAUGGCACUUUGCCACUGAGCUGCAUCCCCAGUCCUUUCUAUUUUUUAUUUUGAGGCAGAGUCUCACUAAGUUGCCCAAACUGGACUUGAACUUGUGAUUCUCCUGCCUUAGCCUCCCAAAUAACUGGGAUUACAGGCGUCUGUCACCAC
rnacentral:lncRNA from 1 species